rnacentral:tRNA from 1 species
UCCCUGGAGGUCCAGUGGUUAAGUCUCUGCACUUCAAAUGCAGGGGUUGCAGGUUCAAUCCCUGGUCAGGGAA